AACGAACGCUGGCGGCAUGCCUAACACAUGCAAGUCGAACGAGACCUUCGGGUCUAGUGGCGCACGGGUGCGUAACGCGUGGGAAUCUGCCCUUGGGUUCGGAAUAACAGUUAGAAAUGACUGCUAAUACCGGAUAAUGUCUUCGGACCAAAGAUUUAUCGCCCAGGGAUGAGCCCGCGUAGGAUUAGCUAGUUGGUGAGGUAAAGGCUCAUCAAGGCGACGAUCCUUAGCUGGUCUGAGAGGAUGAUCAGCCACACUGGGACUGAGACACGGCCCAGACUCCUACGGGAGGCAGCAGUGGGGAAUAUUGGACAAUGGGCGAAAGCCUGAUCCAGCAAUGCCGCGUGAGUGAUGAAGGCCUUAGGGUUGUAAAGCUCUUUUACCCGGGAUGAUAAUGACAGUACCGGGAGAAUAAGCCCCGGCUAACUCCGUGCCAGCAGCCGCGGUAAU
rnacentral:rRNA from 1 species